GAUGAAGAACGUAGCGAAAUGCGAUAAUUAAUGUGAAUUGCAGAAUUCCGUGAAUCAUCGAGUCUUUGAACGCACAUUGCGCCUCAUGGCAUUCCGUGAGGCAUGCCCAUCUCAGCGUUAGAAAAUAUUCUCAAAUUUUAGUUUUGUGCUAAAAUUUGGAUCAUGUCAAGGAAGCUAUUACUAUUAUUGUGAUCGCUCUUUGGAAAUUGAUAGGUCUUUGAGUUGCUACUCAUAGAACGUGAUGAAUCUUUCUUCGUUCUAUUGUAAUUCACUCUAGUAGUCCUAAAACUUGUAUGCCUGUGGCAUAUCUUGUAAUUUGACCUGAGAUUGGGUAGGGAUACCCGCUGAACUUAAGCAUAUCAAUAAGCGGAGGA
rnacentral:misc_RNA from 1 species